GGAAUGUUUGUCGUCCAGGAGGGCCAAGGCAAUGACCACUUCCUCGGCCGCACGCGACGACGUGCUUCGUACGGAAGCGGCGUUAACGGUUGAUUUAACGAAAGUGC
rnacentral:lncRNA from 1 species